UACGUAGGGGGCAAGCGUUGUCCGGAUUUAUUGGGCGUAAAGAGCGUGUAGGCGGCCAUGCAGGUCAGCUGUGAAAACUCGAGGCUCAACCUCGAGACGUCGGUUGAAACCGUAUGGCUAGAGUCCGGAAGAGGAGAGUGGAACUCCGAGUGUAGAGGUGAAAUUCGUAGAUAUUCGGAAGAACACCAGUGGCGGAAGGCGGCUCACUGGUCCGGUACUGACGCUGAGGUGCGGAAAGCGUGGGGAGCAAACA
rnacentral:rRNA from 1 species